rnacentral:lncRNA from 1 species
ACCCUCGGCCCCCCACGGCGGUUGGUCCCGGCGGGGGAAGGAGAAAGUGAGACUCGGUGUCAUCACCAAUCCGUCGCCAGAAGGGGAGGAAACUGGAAUCCAGCAGCGGCGAGCAGCAGCUGGGCGGUCACAUCUGGAAAUGGAAAGCCGACCUCCCCCUCCUCCUCCACCUCUUCCUCCUCCUCCUCCUCCUCCUCUCACCCAGGAUCACUUCCGAAACCACUUGGCCUUCAGCCCCUGCCUCGGCCAGAGGUUUCAUUUUUAACUGAAUAUUUACGAAAGCUGAAAGCGUGCGAGGGGGGUGGGGUGGAAAUAGCGGCUGCUUCUUUUCCAAGGAUUUAUUUAAUGGGGAUGUGUUCAAGGCAAGACCGAAUUCAGAAGGAUAUCGACGUCGUGAUCCAGAAGUCCAGAGCUGAGGACUGCCUGUUUGCAGGACAACUGUGCAGACUACAAAGCUUCGGAAAACCGGAGAGGCUGAGUCGACUAAUCGUGUUGUUGCACGUUAGAAACGCUUGCAUUGCCUGACUCUGAAACCAGAAGGGCGGCCGAAUGGCCUUCACCCUCCAUUAACCCUCGCCUCCUUCAGAAGCCAGUGCCUCUGGAAAUGCCUGGAUCUGCGACCCCAGCCUGAGCCUAGUAGGGCCCAAGGGAAGCUGAACGCCCCGACGGCUCUCAUGGGCACCGGCAACAGUUUUCCGUUUGUGCCUACUCCACCUGCUGUCUUUGUUGGGUCAGCGAACAUCGCCUCCCUCUACCGCUCAAUCAGCAAAAGGGACCGCCCUUGAGGACCUCACCCGCGGCUCACUCCCCUCCCAACUUCGCGGGCAUCGCCUCCGGUCGCCUCUUCCGAAGGCCUAACGAGCAUGUUAGCUGCGAACGGAGGUGAGGAGGCUCCGCUGACUGACCGGUGCCCAUGUCCAGGGCACGCACAAACGCCAUGACUUGGCUUGGCCUCUCUCUUAGUUAUUCACAAGCUCAGCCCGAUAGGCACCUCUGGGGCGGCGACGGCAAAGAGGGUGCGCUUAUUAAGUGCAGCUCCACGGGGACUGGCCUCUGCACGGCUGUGUACACCUGAGCGAGACGCUCAGUCGCUCUCUAAAGCCGCUUCUGCGGAUGACAGACACGGAGAUAAACGUGAGAGGUGGCCCACCACGACUUGCCCUCCUUUGCCCGGGUUUGCCCCUCGCUGCGGAGGCUGUUCUACAUCUGGCCCUUGGAGCAGGCCGGCUGACAGCGUGGUAAAGGAAGAUUUCUGCGGGAGGGCGGCCAGUGCAAAACAAUUCCCUGACCGGGAAUCGAACCCGGGCCGUGGCGCUUUCAGCACCGAAUCCUAGCCACUAGACAACCAUGCAGAUGCGG